ACCUCCUUAUUUAAGCUCUGUGUCAAAAUAGCAGAACCUAGUAUAUCUAAGUAUUUGUGAUAAAGCUAGCAGAGCAAACACAAGAAGAAAAACAACUACUCCAGGUAGUAAAAACUACUUUUUUUUUAGUUCAGGGUACUUUAUUCUAAGAUUCGAUACAAUAAAA